UCGUUACUGGGUGGAUGCAACGACUUCGCAUGUAUCAGCAACGCAGCUGAUGUUUAUUUAAAAAUUCUGAAAACCAUCGGGAAACAACGGAAGCUAUUGGUAAAAAGGUUAACGGAAACGAAACAAACGCAUUCGUCGUUCCAGGUAGUACACUUACUCUGAUUCGAAAAUCAUUUGCAGAAAACGUAGGCGUUUUGUAACGAUGUGCAAUAACCCUGAAUGGAUUUGGAGGAGAAACAUUUUUCUGUAACCAAAAACUAAAUGCGAAAGUCGUUGUUGACAAGAUAGGUUGAAAUUCUUGUAGUGGAAAAUGACUUAAUAUCUGAAAAAGUUUUAUUGGAAACGACUCAAAAUCGAGCGGAUACGGAAAACGAAAAAUUGGAAAAAGUCUUAACAGAUAAUGCUGCUUGUUUCUUGCACAAGACCAACGAAUUAGGUAAACGCUCAAUAUCGAAAAUGAAAAUCGUUUUAACAUCAAACGUCCCAUGUUAUACGAAACCAUACCGAACACCGUUUGCGCUCAGACCUAUUGUUACGAAUUUCAUAUCUGAAUUAUUGUAAAACGUCAUUCGACAUUCGUCCUUCGGAUUCGACGUAC